rnacentral:lncRNA from 1 species
CUUUGUGGAUCUCAGCAGCAAAGCCUCAACAAUUUUCGUCUCCAAGUAUCUAUUAUAGCACAGUGGAAUGCAAAUAAUUAGGUUUUUUGUAGAAUUCUAACUAAGGAAGGAAAACUAUAUUUUUUAGAAUUGGGAGGAGGGAAGCAAAAUUCUUACCGCCAAAAUCUUUUCCUUCUAAAUCUCCCAUACUUUCCAUACAUAGCUCCUUUUGAGUCUUGGGGAAAAGGAAGCAAACUUGAGAAAUUUUGGCAAAUCCAAUUUAAGAUUUUGAUCCAAAAUUGAUUUUGAGAGGAGAGAGGGGAUGAGUCCGGUUCUUCCAAGGCUUACGACUUAAUUAGCUUUCUCAAAAA